GAGAUUUUUUUUGCCAUGUGUUGUACCUGAUAGGCCCCAAUUAAUCGAUAUCAAAUCAUUGCUACUGUAUUCGAUUGAUAAGAUGUUCUGGGUGGUUGUUAGCGCAAUGCUAAUUUUACUUACAUACAAAGUCCUUAGCGUGUUUUCAUCUGGUUUGACUGUUAGCUUUGUACUACUACACAUAAGUCACACUUAAGAAUUCACACCUAGAAUGAUAACUAUUAGUGUUCACGUCAAUGGACAAUAAUGUUCUGUUUAUUAUAAGUGUGCUGCAGUUUUGUUGUCUGCCACUUUAAAUGCUAAAUGGCUGCCAAUGUUUUUAUCAUUCAUCAGCUGGAAAUAUCUUUCUGAAAGUUAUUCCAGUGAUAUUGUUCCUCUGUUUUGUUAUCGUUAUAGUUGUGGUGUGGACCUCCAUAUUCUCAUAGAAUUAGAAUGUUUGUUAAAACUUUAUAGUUAUUCUUUAGUGUGAAUGACUCGGACUAGUUUUGUUUGAAUUUUGUUGGAGAUAAUAUAACGCUGAUUAUUUUGUGGUGAUUUUUACCUCAUUAUAAUGUUCAGACUGGAAUUUUACACACACAUAAAUGGUUGGAACAUGGAAGGACUGUAGAGGAAACACAUUAACGCUUUGCUGACUCAAACAGAGUCACCCGUUAUUGUUGGCUUGGAAACGAUGGAUGAGAGACCAUGAGAGAGUCCAAAUGUGGUUAACAUAUCAUACGGCAGGGAACAACUUCCACAGGGCUUACAUCAACAGAUUUCUGCUGGAUCAGUUAAAAUCGGUGUUGAAGCCAGGUACACUUUCAAAACAGUUGAUUUUGGAAAUUUUGUUUAAGUUUUCUCAACACUAAUGCCUUCCAGACACUAAACAGAUUCAGACUGUUCUUCAGCAUUUCAGAGAAAAGACAAGUUUGUAUCUCGACUUUCUCAAUGCUAAUGACUUCCAGACACUAAAUUGAUUCAGACUAUUCUUCACCGUUUCAGAGAAAAGACAAAUUUGUAUCUCACCAGCUUUGCUAACCAAUUUUAUAACACGUAAAUAUAAGGGCAUUCAAUCAAUCUCCUCAAUGUCAUUUGAGGCCGUAACCACCAUAGACACUGAGGAGAACAAGCCUCGAGUUGGCGGAUCAAUUGCAGCAGCUCCAAAGUGACCAAUUCAAGCUUACGUCACGACAGUACCAGGACAAAAUGCUAACGUGGUUUUGGUCAAGGCAAUCACUCCACACCAACCAGCCAGCUUCAGUUUUCCUGGAAGGCAGUUUGGAAAAGAGAAUUUUUGUCGUUAUUCACUGCAAACUGGUUCAACAAAUUAUGUGGCUGCAUUACAUUGAGGAAGGUGAUCAAACAGCAAGGCAUGUUUUGGAGCUAAUGUUCAGGUCAGUGUCCUUCCUGGGAAAGAAGGGGGUGGCUUUUCGGGGUGACAGCACCCGUGAUGACAUUUUGUAUGAACUGAUGCUUGAACGUACACACAACCUCCCAAGAGAGAGACAGUGGAUUGAGAGGAGAGAUUACUGGCUCUCGGACACAAUCCAGAAUGAAGACAUUCAACAGUAUGUCUGUACUAUUCAAUGUAAGAUUGUAUCCCGUGCCAAAAUUAGUUUGUACUAUGGACUCACAGCUGAUGUUACCACCGACUCCAGUACAAUAGAGCAGUUCUCAUUGACACUGCAGUAUGUGGAUGAGAAAUUGGAGAUUCACUCUGAACUCCUUGGAUUUUACAGGGCCCCCGACAGCAGUGGAGAGACCGUGUUCAGGUGCAUCAAAGAUGUACAGCAGGCUGAACAUCCCAAUUCAGCAUCUCCAUGGAUGUUGUUUCGAUAGAGCUUCUAACAUGUUUUCAGUGUUCAUAUGUGGCUAAAAAAUAUGCCUGGAGUCCCUCUUCAUCCACUGUGCCAACCAUUCACUUGAUCUAGUAUUUUAGGAGGCUGCACGUGAGGUGGGUCUAAUGGCAGAUUCAGUUAACUUUUUUUUAGGGCGUAGCUGUGGUAAUCCGUUAAUCAGCAAAAUGCAUGGAGCUCCAUGAGUCCUCCAUGUUUGGCUGUGAUGAGAUAGUUACCUUACUGGUACAAACAAUAGCUAUCAAAUAUGUGUGUAGUGUAUACACAGAAAUCAUCAAAGCACUGGAGCAGGUUAAGGAUGACAGAAGUGUGAGAGGACCAGACCAGAGCUAAGAUUGGAGGCCUGCUCAAGCAAGCAAUAAAAGCUAAAAAUUACUAUGGCCUCCUUUGUUGUGAAGCAGUAUUUGAGCCAUGUGAGUUGGUGGCCAAGAGUUUGCAGUAUACCAAAGCCAGCGCACUGGGCACCCUUGAGUGUCCCGAAAUGGAAGGUGCAUAGAUGCCCUUCGGGAUGAUGCAGUGGUGGAUAACAGCGGUGAGUACUUGAAUAACGGUGGAUACUUUGACAAAGCCCGACUGGAGAUCCAGCUGAAAAUGAUGGGAGACUUCUGCAGUGAUUGUCCCAAGACAGUAAAAGACAUCGCAACAUCCAUGUCUAAACUCCAUCCACAAACAAGGGCUCUUUUCAAAGAAGUUGAAAACUGGAUCAGACCAAGUCUCCCCAUCUCAGCUGCUUCAUCAGAGAGGACAUUUCCCGCUCUCCGCCAUCUGAUUACGCACAAGCAUGACACAAAAAAGACUGACCCACCUUGCUGUUAGGCAUGUUCAUGGACAUAUAUUGGACAGUUUGGACAUUGAUGCUCUCAUCAGCGUCAGCCCGGAGAGAAAGGUCACAUUUCGAAGUUCUACAUGCAGGCUGGCAGUAAGACAGACAUUGGACAGUCUUCACAUGAUGGACAAGAUAGGAUGCCUAAAUAUUUGAACGAAAAGCUGCCCAGCUGUACCAACAAGCUGUUUCCUGUGUCCAGACCUAUCAAAGGCCUUUAUAGACAGGACAGAGGGAACACAGACUGGUAUUAAAUCAUAGACACUGCAAGGUGUCCAGCAAACUCAGAUGUGUGGUGAUCUCAUGGUUGAGAUGGAAAGAUUUCUUUCUCUUUUCUUUCACGAAUGCAGCCAUCUGCUAUUCGCUCUCUGAUUUCAUCAGUGGAACAUUGGGACAGGCCUGGUUAAAAGUACAUGAUGUGAAGCUACAACCUACAAUUUUUGAUUUCUCCUUCAAGCUGCAGAUGGUCUUUGACUGGAGGAAAAAAAGCAUUAAACAGUGUAAAAAGAGUUAACUGAUCUUAAUUUCAUCCAAAGCCAUUUAAAGUGCAUUCAAACUAUACAUUCUAUCAGUAUGUAAGUUUCCCAGGAAUUAAAUUGGGAUUUGUUUGUUUGUUGAUUUGAAGCAGCACUGUAGUAAUGUACAAGGAACAAGGCCUUAAUGUGUAAAUAACUCAAAUACAACAACUAAAUAAACAAAUACAUCAACAGUAA